rnacentral:rRNA from 1 species
GUGUCAGCAGCCGCGGUAAUACGUAGGUGGCUAGCGUUGUCCGGAAUCACUGGGCGUAAAGGGUGUGUAGGCGUCCCGGUAAGUCUCUGGUGAAAGCCUUCCGCUCAACGGAAGAAUUGCCAGAGAUACUGUCGGGAUUGAGUCCGGGAGAGGGGAGCGGAAUUCCUGGUGUAGCGGUGAAAUGCGUAGAUAUCAGGAAGAACGCCAGAGGCGAAGGCGGCUCCCUAGCCCGGUACUGACGCUGAGGCACGAAAGCGUGGGGAGCGAACGGGAUUAGAUACCCCGGUAGUCCACGCCCUAAACGAUGGAUGCUAGGUGUUGGAUCCGAGAGGAUUCAGCGCCGAAGCUAACGCGUUAAGCAUCCCGCCUGGGGACUACGGCCGCAAGGCUGAAACUUAAAUGAAUUGACGGGG